AUGCAGCCUUUAGUGUUUGAAUUAUACUGUAACAGUGCUGUCAUGUGUUACUCCUGUGAUUACUUGUUGAGAACAUUUGCCCAUUUCUUGCAAUUGUUUUAUGUUUUAUUGUCUUUUUACUGUUCAAGACACUACCUGGCUGCACUGCAUUACAAUGAGAAUGCUGAUAGAGGACAAGCCACCACAUCAUCAGGAGAUCCUCUUUUCAAACUGAGCUUUCCAAAGUCCAGGAAGGGAGAGUGCAGAGCCAGACCCGUGAAGACAUGCAUGACAUUCUACUGAGGUGAUGCACUGUUGGACCUGAUCUUCAAGAAGGUUUUCCAGGACCCUGCCCCAUGUAAACGAGUUGCUGAAACUUAUAAUCCCUGAAGACCUCUCAGACCACGCAGACAGGCAGCACAACUCUCACUCUCCACGCCAGAGAGCCCCAGCACCAGCUUACAAAGCUUCUGUAGGCUAUAUUGGCUGAACACAAUUCAAUAUAAAGUCAGCACUGAAUGUUUACACCCAUGGCAACUAGAUACUUUCUUUGUAAUUAUUUUCAUAUUGAUAUUUAAGUUAAUAUAUAAAGUCAAACUGUUUCACUUCAGAUAUUUAUUUUCUUCUUGUUAUUAUUUCAUUCAUGUCAACACAUGUUUACAGAUGUUUCUUACAAUAAAACAUCUUUCCUGACUGUUCUGUGUUUUCAUUGUUAAGUAAUUUUCAUGGUAAUAAGUAAAAGAUAAACUAUAAGCAAUGUAAGAUAGAGGAAGCAGUUAUGUACUUUUCAUCAUAACACUUUUGCGAUAAAUGAAUAGUAUUUAUGGGACCAAAAGCUUACUGCACUAUUCCCCCCAAACGUAAAGGUCCAUAGUCUGUCCGAUAAAUGUUCAGUGCAUUCUGCAGUACAGAUACAUUCAGGCAGACAGGUUACAGGCCAGGAGGGUCCACCAUGCAUGAUGGUGGCUCAGGAUGCUGCUGUAGUCUUCGUGUAACCUAGAAAUUAUGAAAGGUAAGUGAGUGACAAUAGAUUAGAGAAAAGAUAGACUGCAAAAUGACAACCAUGUUUGCCCAGUGUUCACACUUAAUUGUGGUAUUUCCAUGCAGCAGAUAUUCUCAGGUUAUGUAGACAUUUGUACACAGUUGCCACAGGAACACCUGCUUUUAUGCAGAAUUUUUAUUAUUCAUUGUAAACUAUAAUCGCUAAUCACGUCGCAUUGUUUCUUUGGUAACAUAACUAAAGUUUAUAAACCGUUGUAACUGGUUAAACAAUUCUACUGUUAGAGAGGUGAUGGGAGGCAACUGUGGCUUACUGAAAACUACAGUUGUUGAAAAUUGCUGGCAGUAGCUAAUUACAGGUCGUCCCUGCAAAUAAGAACAGGUUCUCAAUCAACUUACCUGGCUACAUAAAGGUAAAUAAUGAUAUGGGGUUACGCUUUGUCUUGUAAUGGCUGUUGCUAAAUUGCAUCUGCGUUACAACAACUGGACAGCAGUAAACACCAGCCGAGGUUUAGCUAGCUUUAUGAUGUAAACACUGGAGGCAGGAGAAGGGGGCUGUUAUCUGUAACUAUGCGGGGCAGACGGCCAGUAAGCUCGUAAGACUUUCGUUAGUCUGCAGUUACAUAAAAGUAAUGUCGAGGUAAAAAAAACUUAACUACUAACCACUGAGAAACAUCAAUGUUCAUUCUUGGCUGCUUACUUUCUUCUGGAGCCUUUUGUUCUGGGUCCGACCGCAGUCUGUUGUCCAGCGGCCAUUACUUCCUGAAACUCCGCCGUUGCCAUGGUCACAUGAUGCCGUCCUCACGUCUUCCGCAGGCAGGAAGAGGUGGGCGGUACCGUGGGCGGCGCGCAGUAGCUCAUUAGCAUUUAAAGGGAAAGGCACUGAAACAGGCCACCUGGAGCAGGGCUGUGAAACUGGUGUUUCAAGAACCCUGCUGUGCUCAAUCCUUUAGCUUAUUUCGACCAAAGCAUGUUACUAACAUUCCAUUUAGACUUCAAGGAACCAUGUUAAGAGGCAGAAAUUACCAUAAUAUGGGACCUUUAACACUUUAUUUUAUCUUUAAUGUCUGCAUGUCAUGUAUGCUGCUCUGCCUUUUAUUUGAUUGUUGUCUCUCAUUGUGAAGCACUUUGUGACUGUUACAUUCAAUGUGAGUAAUUCUGUAUUUGAAAUUUUCACAGAAUGCAACAAAAACAAUUAGAGAACCACUGUGGAAAACAUCCUUCUUAAAUAUGUGUGCACAUGUGUGUGUGUGUUGAUCCAGUUUAUGGUUUGUUGUCUGUUGUACACUGCCCUCUACUGACAAUACAUCUGCACUACAUAUCAUUCCAUGAACAAUAUUUUUGAUAAUCAGUCAACUUCACAUCACAGCAGUCAACAAGUUGAUGCAGCACACCAGAUGUUCAUCCUUGAGAUCAACAACAACGAGUUUAAAGGGACAGUUCACCGCCAAAUUAAACAUGCAUAGUCUUGGUCUUACCUGUCGUGCUGUUUAUCCAUCUUCAUUGUCUUAGUGUGAGAUGCUGAGUUUUGGAGAUAUCAGCGCUAUCUGAUCCAUUAUACUAUCAGAUAGUAUAAUGGAACUAGAUGGCAGUUGUCUUGUUGUGCUCCAAGUGCCAAAAAAACUACAUUUGAACAGUAAUGUCUCUUUCCAGAAAUCAUGACCCAGUUACUCAAGAAAAUCCACAGAGCUGACCACACUCAGCAGACUUCAACCAGCAACCACAUCAACACACAGCAGGUAGUGUGCAUCUACUUUAACAACAAGGUUUAUUUUAUUUUAUUUUAUUCUUUCAUAAGGCAUUUUCCUUAUGUCGAGUAAGGGUUAGAGGCCAAGCUGGAUGAUUGAGGAUGGAAAUCUCACAGUGACCAGUGAUGUAGUAGCUUGUCAGAUUUUCAUCAGGGGUGUUUCUAAUGAUAAUUUAUUCUCAAAAGCUGAAUGUAUCAGCUAAUGCUGUACUUGCCGCCUGUGUAGGAGCAUCUAAUGCGACCUUUGAACAGCAGCAGGCUGACCUUGGUUUUACAGCAAUCCUCCAUCAGUGUGCCUGACCACACUUCACUUUAAGACCAACCUACCCAGGGGCUAUUUACAACAUGGGCCUGAAAUGACAACUGCAUCAGUCAAAGCACAGCUGCACUGUGCUGUGCCGGGAUAGAUCACAUAGAGUCCCUCAUGAUUUUCAAAACACAGUUCAAACAAUUUGCAACAUAUGCAUCACACAGUCACGUCACACAGAUUUCCAGAAGUGUUAUUUUCAUUGGUCCUUGUGCAAUUGUAGUUGAUCUUAGUGAUCAUUAUGCUAAAUAUCAGUUCAGUUGUGUACUGGUAGUCCAAUGAAUGUAUAUAGAUGUGGUGUAGUCAGAGGGAGAUGUUAAUGAGGACUACAUCAUGAUGAACAUAUGUCAUUUUGAUACAGCUAUGGUGUUUUCAACUGUUUCACAUAUUUCUCAGGAGAUGGCAACCUCUGAGCUUCAUUUUACAAUGUCUUGUCAGUGUGCCAUAUUAACCUUAAUGUUAUUACAUUAUAAUUAUAUAUAAUAGCACUAAACACAAUAGCUGCCAUCCCUAAGAAAACAUCUAUAUCAAAUUAAAAUCAUUAACUCUACCAGCCUUCCACUAAUCUUGUUCAUCAAUGCACUUAACAUGAUAGCUGUAUUUCUUUUACACUCUGUGGUUACAAAAUGUGAUUGAUGAUUUCCUGGCAUAAAAGAAAAUAUGUGUAACGCACACAAACAGGUACCAAACAAGAAUGCUGCCAUCCUCAUGAUAAUAUCCACAUCAUAAAACACACAUUUCCACAAAACGCUCUUGCAGACUUGUUGUACCUUUAGUUAAG
rnacentral:lncRNA from 1 species